AUUCUUAUCUAUGUCGUGUGACAAAUGCAUGGACCAGGCAGAUUGGGAUGCAGAAGCAGGACAUUGUGGGCCGUAGCUCCUACCUAUACCAUGUGACAAAUACAGGAAGCAGGCAAACAGUGGACACUUGCCAUAGUAGUGUACACCUCCUACCUUUUAAUAGGAUAAGCACAAUAUACUAGCAGACUGGGAAGAAGACUAGUAUUGGAUCAGUAUCAUAGCC